rnacentral:rRNA from 1 species
GCUGACUGUAGCGUAACUGACGCUGAUGCUCGAAAGCGUGGGUAUCGAACAGGAUUAGAUACCCUGGUAGUCCACGCGGUAAACGAUGGAUGCUCGCUGUUUGCCAUAUAUGGUAAGUGGCCAAGCGAAAGCAUUAAGCAUCCCACCUGGGGAGUACGCCGGCAACGGUGAAACUCAAAGGAAUUGACGGGGGCCCGCACAAGCGGAGGGACAUGUGGUUUAAUUCGAUGAUACGCGAGGAACCUUACCCGGGCUUGAACUGCCAGCGGACGAUUCAGAGAUGAAGAGGCCCUUCGGGGCGCUGGUGGAGGUGCUGCAUGGUUGUCGUCAGCUCGUGCCGUGAGGUGUCGGCUUAAGUGCCAUAACGAGCGCAACCCUCUUCCCCGGUUGCCAUCAGGUAGUGCUGGGCACUCCGUGGAUACUGCCACCGCAAGGUGUGAGGAAGGUGGGGAUGACGUCAAAUCAGCACGGCCCUUACGUCCGGGGCUACACACGUGUUACAAUGGCGCGUACAGAGAGCCGGUCCCUGGCAACAGGGGUCAAAUCCUUAAAACGCGUCGUAGUUCGGAUUGGGGUCUGCAACCCGACCCCAUGAAGCUG